rnacentral:rRNA from 4 species
CAAUCAAACCGGGAGAUAGCUGGUUCUCCCCGAAAGCUAUUUAGGUAGCGCCUCGUGAAUUCAUCUCCGGGGGUAGAGCACUGUUUCGGCUAGGGGGCCAUCCCGGCUUACCAACCCGAUGCAAACUGCGAAUACCGGAGAAUGUUAUCACGGGAGACACACGGCGGGUGCUAACGUCCGUCGUGAAGAGGGAAACAACCCAGACCGCCAGCUAAGGUCCCAAAGUCAUGGUUAAGUGGGAAACGAUGUGGGAAGGCCCAGACAGCCAGGAUGUUGGCUUAGAAGCAGCCAUCAUUUAAAGAAAGCGUAAUAGCUCACUGGUCGAGUCGGCCUGCGCGGAAGAUGUAACGGGGCUAAACCAUGCACCGAAGCUGCGGCAGCGAACGUAUCACCCAAGACAACUUUACGGAGUUGACGAUUGACGGAGCGAAGCGACGUCAAAGCGUUCAUUAAAGUCGAGUUGGCUUAGGGAUACGUUCGUUGGGUAGGGGAGCGUUCUGUAAGCCUGUGAAGGUGUGUCGUGAGGCAUGCUGGAGGUAUCAGAAGUGCGAAUGCUGACAUAAGUAACGAUAAAGCGGGUGAAAAGCCCGCUCGCCGGAAGACCAAGGGUUCCUGUCCAACGUUAAUCGGGGCAGGGUGAGUCGACCCCUAAGGCGAGGCCGAAAGGCGUAGUCGAUGGGAAACGGGUUAAUAUUCCCGUACUUGGUGUUACUGCGAAGGGGGGACGGAGAAGGCUAUGUUGGCCGGGCGACGGUUGUCCCGGUUUAAGCGUGUAGGUGUGUGUUCCAGGUAAAUCCGGUUCACUUUAACACUGAGGCGUGACGACGAGGCACUACGGUGCUGAAGCAACAAAUGCCCUGCUUCCAGGAAAAGCCUCUAAGCAUCAGGUAACACGAAAUCGUACCCCAAACCGACACAGGUGGUCAGGUAGAGAAUACCAAGGCGCUUGAGAGAACUCGGGUGAAGGAACUAGGCAAAAUGGUGCCGUAACUUCGGGAGAAGGCACGCUGACACGUAGGUGAAGUGAUUUACUCAUGGAGCUGAAGUCAGUCGAAGAUACCAGCUGGCUGCAACUGUUUAUUAAAAACACAGCACUGUGCAAACACGAAAGUGGACGUAUACGGUGUGACGCCUGCCCGGUGCCGGAAGGUUAAUUGAUGGGGUCAGCG